CCUACGGGUGGCAGCAGUGGGGAAUAUUGGGCAAUGGGCGCAAGCCUGACCCAGCAACGCCGCGUGAGGGAAGAAGGCUUUCGGGUUGUAAACUUCUUUUCUCAGGGACGAAGCUAGUGACGGUUCCUGAGGAAUCAGCCACGUCUAACUACGUGCCAGCAGCCGCGGUAAUACGUAGGUGGCAAGCGUUAUCCGGAUUUACUGGGUGUAAAGGUCGUGUAGGCAGGACUGCAAGUCAGAUGUGAAAACCACGGGCUCAACCUGUGGACUGCAGUUGAAACUGUAGUUCUUGAGUACUGGAGAGGCAGACGGAAUUCCUAGUGUAGCGGUGAAAUGCGUAGAUAUUAGGAGGAACACCAGUGGCGAAGGCGGUCUGCUGGACAGCAACUGACGCUGAGGCGCGAAAGCGUGGGGAGCAAACAGGAUUAGAUACCCGAGUAGUC
rnacentral:rRNA from 1 species